GAAAGCAUUUGCCAAGGACGUUUUCAUUAAUCAAGAACGAAAGUUAGGGGAUCGAAGAUGAUCAGAUACCGUCGUAGUCUUAACCAUAAACUAUGCCGACUAGGGAUCGGGCGUUGUUCUUUUUAUGACUCGCUCGGCACCUUACGAGAAAUCAAAGUUUUUGGGUUCUGGGGGGAGUAUGGUCGCAAGGCUGAAACUUAAAGGAAUUGACGGAAGGGCACCACCAGGAGUGGAGCCUGCGGCUUAAUUUGACUCAACACGGGAAAUCUCACCAGGUCCAGACACAAUAAGGAUUGACAGAUUGAGAGCUCUUUCUUGAUUUUGUGGGUGGUGGUGCAUGGCCGUUCUUAGUUGGUGGAGUGAUUUGUCUGCUUAAUUGCGAUAACGAACGAGACCUUAACCUACUAAAUAGUGCUAUUAGCUUUUGCUGAUUUGCUACUUCUUAGAGGGACUAUCGAUUUCAAGUCGAUGGAAGUUUGAGGCAAUAACAGGUCUGUGAUGCCCUUAGACGUUCUGGGCCGCACGCGCGCUACACUGACGGAGCCAGCAAGUACUAUCCUUGGCCGAAAGGUCCGGGUAAUCUCGUGAAACUCCGUCGUGCUGGGGAUAGAGCAUUGAAAUAUUUGCUCUUCAACGAGGAAUUCCUAG
rnacentral:rRNA from 1 species